CCUACGGGUGGCAGCAGUAGGGAAUAUUGCUCAAUGGGGGAAACCCUGAAGCAGCAACGCCGCGUGGAGGAUGAAGGUUUUCGGAUUGUAAACUCCUUUUGUUAGAGAAGAUAAUGACGGUAUCUAACGAAUAAGCACCGGCUAACUCCGUGCCAGCAGCCGCGGUAAUACGGAGGGUGCAAGCGUUACUCGGAAUCACUGGGCGUAAAGAGCGCGUAGGCGGGAUAGCAAGUCAGAUGUGAAAUCCUAUGGCUUAACCAUAGAACUGCAUUUGAAACUGUUAGUCUAGAGUAUGGGAGAGGUAGGAGGAAUGCUUGGUGUAGGGGUGAAAUCCGUAGAGAUCAAGAAGAAUACUGAUUGCGAAGGCGACCGGCGAGAA
rnacentral:rRNA from 1 species